CACCUCCUCCUUCGCCAUCUCCCCCGCCCCUGUAUGUGUACAAAUCUCCUCCUCCACCAUCACCUUCACCACCACCUCCAUAUUAUUAUAAGUCGCCACCUCCACCUUCACCAUCACCUCCACCACCAUAUUAUUAUAAAUCUCCGCCACCACCCUCGCUAUCACCACCUCCACCUUACUAUUAUAAGUCUCCACCGCCACCUUCUCCUUCACCUCCUCCACCAUACUACUAUAAAUCUCCACCACCUCCUUCACCUUCACCUCCGCCACCUUAUUAUUACAAGUCUCCGCCUCCUCCGUCACCAUCACCACCACCACCAUACUAUUAUAAGUCCCCACCACCACCUGCUAAGUCACCUCCUCCCCCAUACUACUACAGUUCUCCACCACCACCACUAAAGUCUCCUCCUCCACCAUAUUAUUAUUCCUCACCGUCACCACCAAAGAAAUCACCCCCGCCACCAUAUCACUAUACUUCCCCACCACCACCAGUUAAGUCUCCUCCUCCACCAUAUUACUAUUCCUCACCACCACCCCCAAAGAAAUCACCUCCUCCCCCAUAUCACUAUAGUUCCCCACCUCCACCAGUUAAGUCUCCUCCUCCACAAUAUUACUAUUCCUCACCACCGCCCCCCAAGAAAUUACCUCCUCCACCAUAUUAUUACUCUUCUCCACCACCACCAAAGAAAUCACCACCGCCACCAUAUCACUACUCUUCCCCACCACCACCAGUAAAGUCACCUCCAACUCCAUACUACUACACCUCCCCACCACCUCCAAAGAAGUCUUCUCCCCCACCGUACUAUUACGCUUCACCACCACCACCUACUCAGUACUAUCCUCCAUAUCAUCAUUUGGUGGUCAAGGUUGUCGGAAAGGUCUACUGUUUUAGAUGCUAUGAUUCAAAAUAUCCAGAGAAGUCUCAUGGCAAGAAACACCUGCAAGGUACAAUACUUUUUAUUACACAUCCACUCUUUUUAUUAACUUUAAUUUAUCACCAAAAAUUGAUUUAACUAUAUAUUCGCCUUUUUGUUGCUUUAUUCGUUAAGCUCUUACCAAAAUACCCAAAAAUGUGCUAGUAAAAAAUUUGCGCGCAUCACAAUCACUAGAUUUUCCUUUUUGAAAAAUAAGAUUUUAAAAUAUCAAAAAUAUUUACAACGUAGUAACUAUAAAUAUUUUUGUAACUAUGGAGUAAAAUAUUGAAAAUGACAUAUGUUAGCAGCUCAAUAACUUUAGUGUUAAUUAAUAUAUUAAUUCUUUUUUCACAUGAAUUAGGUGCUGUUAUUAAGGUGACUUGUAAGGCUGGUGACAAGAAAAUUGUGAGUUAUGGUACCACAAGGAUCAACGGCAAAUUCAGCAUUACUGUUAAAGGAUUUGAAUAUGCCAAAUAUGGAGCAAAGGCUUGCAAGGCUAAACUACACAAUGCUCCAAAGGAUUCUAAUUGUGACAUUCCUACAAACCUUUACUGGGGAGUAAAGGGCGCUAACCUAAAAGUGAAGUCAAAGAACCAUUAUGAAGUUGUACUUUAUGCAAAACCAUUUGCUUAUGGCUCUAAGACACCUUAUGCAAAAUGCACAAAACCUCUGCCUACGCCUGCUCCAUACUACUACAAAUCUCCUCCACCUCCAUCGCCGAUUUAUAUUUACAAGUCACCACCUCCAACAACCCCGACAUAUGUUUACAAAUCUCCACCGCCACCAACUAAGUCUUCACCAUCUCCUUAUUACUACAAGUCUCCACCUCCACCAUCACCAAAACCUGCUCCUGUAUACUAUUAUAAAUCACCACCACCUCCAUCAACAUUGCCUCCACCUAC
rnacentral:lncRNA from 1 species